UUGAGCAGGAUAAGGUAUGAAAUCUGUAUGUGGAAACUCCCACAGAUGAGCAAUUCUUAGGUAAAAUACUUCCUUCUCCGAGUCUCACCUUCCUUAUCUAUAUGAGGUUAGACUAGAUGAAUCCUGAAUCAAUAAUAUUAUCUAUGAUCUUCUUUAAAAUCUCUUCUACCUCAAAGGUUCUUAGAUGAUAUCCUGGGGCUAAGAAUUGUCUCACAGCUUCAGAACACGGAACACGGAAAUGGUCACUGGCUGUAAUUAUAGAAGCCAUUGUAGGCUCUGUUGGAGUGAUAGAAUUUCCACCCAUUUGUACAAAAGGAACAGUCACACUCAGAGCUCCCACCCUGAUCAAAUGUGAGACAGAGUAUGUGUGUGUAUAUAAGAGACAGACAGACAGAGAGAAAGAGAGACACAGAGAGACGGGGGACAGAGAGAGGGAGGAAAGGAGAGAACUAAAUGUUCUCUGCUGAGAGGUUUAUUUUUUAACUAUCCUGUUAGAGGAAAUGUGGAAGAGUAAAGACUCCUUUCGGCUUUCCUCAGCCCCACUCUGGCUUUAUGCGUUCCACAAAUCCACAAAGCUCAGACGUCCUUUCUACCAAGUGCCAACAUUCACCAAGUCCUUAGAAUCAAAUUCGUCAUUUUCAGAUUAUCUUCAGGACUCACUGAAUCCCAGAUCAAAUAUAUGAAAACUGCAAGCCAGCACCCUGGGUAAUAGCAAUCCUCUUAAAUAUUCACUUGUAUCCACGCAGAGAGGCAAAAAGGUCUUACUCCACUGAAUGCAAUCUAAAACUUGGAAAUUGUGAACUGGUAAUGUAUAAAAACAAAACGAAAUAAGGUUUUUUUGUACAUGCAUAACAAUUAACCAACAAUGGGUUGAAAAUACAAGCUUCAUGGUAAAGCCAUUUAAUAUAUGUUUUCAUAGGUUCUUUUUUUUUUUUGUAAAACUAUUUAGAUAAAAUAUUGAACAUUUUUUAUAAUUGCUUAAUAGUUUAUGAUUCAAUCUAUGCAACUUCCAUCCAUAUUAAAAAUACCAAUUAACAUAAAUACUUUGUUAUAAAAACUAUUAUACAAUUUUCAAUUUUAUUAGAAACUUUUACAUAGUUAUCACAAUUCUCAGAAAGUCCUCUGAGCAGGUGCAUUCAUAGGGAAUACGCUAAAACCAGUAUCUAUAAUGCCUUUAAUAACUAUGGCAACCCUGUUAACAUAAAAGGUCUUUGUUAUGCUUAGUGUUUAAAAACUCAUGUUUUGAUAGUUUAAAUGUUUGCUAGUGAGCAUGAAUGGUUAAUUAACUGGUUAAUUUUAGCACAAAUUUCUAAUUGGUGAUAGGUUGCAUUUUUUUUUUUUUAAGGACAGUUGUUUAACCAUGUCUAGUCAGAUUCUCUAUGCUAGAUAAGGAACUUAAAAG